rnacentral:rRNA from 1 species
CCUACGGGAUGCAGCAGUGAGGAAUAUUGGUCAAUGGGCUUACGCCUGAACCAGCCAAGUCGCGUGAGGGAAGACUGCCCUAUGGGUUGUAAACCUCUUUUGUCAGGGAGCAACGCCGGCUACGUGUAGCCGGACUGAGAGUACCUGAAGAAAAAGCAUCGGCUAACUCCGUGCCAGCAGCCGCGGUAAUACGGAGGAUGCGAGCGUUAUCCGGAUUUAUUGGGUUUAAAGGUUGCGUAGGCGGAAUGCCAAGUCAGCGGGAAAAUCGCGGGGCUCAACCUCGCUCCGCCGUUGAAACUGGCGUUCUUGAGUGGGCGAGAAGUAUGCGGAAUGCGUGGUGGAGCGGUGAAAUGCAUAGAUAUCACGCAGAACUCCGAUUGCGAAGGCAGCAUACCGGCGCCCAACUGACGCUGAAGCACGAAAGCGUGGGUAUCGAACAGGAUUAGAUACCCGUGUAGUC